CAAGAAGCUGACCCGACUGGAAAGAUAUUUGCCGCAAAUCCUCGCGACUUGCUAGCAAAGCCUCGAGGAUUCCUGAAGUCGGGGCACCUUUCCUGAUGUCAGCAUGAUUUUAGACGCUCGUAGCGCUGCCGAUAGCGUGUACUCAUCUCCUGCACAACGUUCCUACAAGUUAAAACCCACGCGAAAACGCACUGACUUGAGAGAACCAACUGAAGGUUACAACGUCACACCAGGCCACGAAGAAGUUAUGCAAAGAAGUUGGAUACCAACGAUCGCGUCGCUCUUCUCAACGGAAGGAAAUGCGCUUUAGUACGUAGAAGAUGGAAAGGACGUGACUACAGACGUGUCCACACAGACGAAGAAAUGUGAACCUGCUUGAAUACGCACUGAGGGUGGCUCAGAAAAUAAAACGAAAUAAUUAACCACGUUUAU